rnacentral:rRNA from 1 species
CGGAUUGCAGGCUGCAACCCGCCUGCAUGAAGUUGGAAUCGCUAGUAAUCGCGGAUCAGCAUGCCGCGGUGAAUACGUUCCCGGGCCUUGUACACACCGCCCGUCACACCAUGAGAGUCGGGAACACCCGAAGUCCGUAGCCUGACCGCAAGGGGGGCGCGGCCGAAGGUGGGUUCGAUAAUUGGGGUGAAGUCGUAACAAGGUACC